rnacentral:tRNA from 1 species
AAGAUUUUAAGUUAUAUUAAACUAUUAACCUUCAAAGUUAAUUAAGCUUCCAGAGUAAAUCUUA